AUACGUAGGUGACAAGCGUUAUCCGGAUUUACUGGGUGUAAAGGGCGUGCAGCCGGGACGGCAAGUCAGAUGUGAAAUCCAUGGGCUUAACCCAUGAACUGCAUUUGAAACUGUCGUUCUUGAGUACCGGAGGGGCAAUCGGAAUUCCUAGUGUAGCGGUGAAAUGCGUAGAUAUUAGGAGGAACACCAGUGGCGAAUGCGGAUUGCUGGACGGCAACUGACGGUGAGGCGCGAAAGUGUGGGGAGCAAACAGGAUGAGAUACCCUGGUAGUCCUCUCUGUAAACGAUUGAUACUAGGUGUGCGGGGACUGACCCCCUGCGUGCCGGCGUUAACACAAUAAGUAUCCCACCUGGGGAGUACGAUCGCAAGGUUGAAACUCAAAUGAAUUGACGGGG
rnacentral:rRNA from 1 species